GAUGUCUAGACGAAUUUCGAGAAAGGCGUGACUUCAAAGAAAUUUAUGCACAAGCGGUGGAGUUGAAACGAGUUUAAGAGCCCCACCGGUGUUAUUCUACACCGAAGAAGAUACAAUUUUGCGCUUCGUUGAAUUUCACCUGCACGGACUGUGUUACGUGGCGGAAUAUAUUCGGCGGACGGACACCUGCAUUGCGGACAAUACCAUGGAUUUUUCACGGGGAAUGUUUCAGGAAUCCUUUGAACGAUCGGUGUUAUAAAAAAAUUCACGAAGAACAAAAAAAAAAAAAGGAAAGACGAUGAAAAAAUUGAAUAAAUAACGAAGAUACGUGUUUUGUUACGUGGAAUUUAGAAAUCGACAAGAAAUCAAUCGAUCGAUCAUUAAUUUGCUAAUGCACGGAGCGCAACGAUAGUUUAAUUAGAAGAUAAGUUACUUUCUUGUUAUGCGUUCUGUCCACUCCGCGGAGAGAAAGCUGCAGAACGCGCCGCAAACGUCAUGUAAGUAGAGAGUAUUCGUGGUGGCACACUUUUCUGUUGGAGAAUCGAUACUGUGAUCUUAAGGAUCAAACGACAAGAAAAAUCUAUAUUUUCUUUAAAAACAAUAAAUCGUUCAAACGAAUUCAUAAAUUUCCAAAUCACUGUCAAAAAUAUAUAUAUACAAUUACUUUAUUUUUGUCUCUUUCUUCAAUUGAAUAGAAAAAAUACACUUAUUUCAAGAAAAUAUGACAAUAUUAUAUAACAGAAAAAAAUAAGAGGAUAAUAUUCGUUGAACCAUAUCAAUGCGGUGGUUUAUGUGCAAGUAACCUGUAACGCUUCUUAAUGAAACCAUACGAGUUAUGUUCAAACGAUAUCGGUUUAGCCGGUCGAGCCAUCGAGUGAAACUGUUUGCGCGUCUUAACGAGAGUCGAAGAAAGCGUUAACAUGAGAUUACUUAAACAGGAUAUGAAAUAUUACCCAAGGAACAAUCAAUAGAAUCAUAAUACUUUAAUAUUUACAUCUUAUCCGUACGAUCUACAUAUAUGUGACUUUUUGCAAAAAAUUUAAACAACAGUUUAAUAUAGUUGAAUUAUGCCUUAUUGAUAAAGUAACAAGAGCGAUAAUUACCGUUCGUACAAGAGCGUGUAAUAUCGCAACAUCGUGAUUAUCGUAAACGAUUACUUCCGUUCAGCAUCAGAAGAACUGAUGCGGCUAUCAUUACUUUACAACGAGGAUCGAUGAGUUGCACAGCGUAAUAGAUACCUCAAGGUAAACGCGACAAUUUGAAUGCGAUAACACUCUGGCAAUCUUCGAGGAAUAUUCAUUUAUUUGAUCGGCCGCCAAGAAGCGGCAGUAGUUUUACUUUUUUAAUCGUCAAACGUGGUCGUGUAAACCGGUAUAACUGUACCGGAGAUAUCGCGUGACCCGAGGGUAAUAGAAACUUCUCAAUCGCGCACGUACUAACGUAAUUUUCACUUGCGCACUUAAUUAUUUCUUUUGCCGGCGAUGCGUUAAAAAGAGGUCAUUUUGGUGAAAAUAAAUAAAUGGAGAGAAAAAAAAAAAAAAAAAAAAAA